GAGCAACCCAAAUGGCCUCCUACGGACACACAGAGAGGGAAGAGCCUAUGAGGACACAACGAGAGGCAGCCGUUUGCAAGUCGAGGAGGGACAACCCCACACGGCCAGCACCACGAUCUUGGGCUUCCAGCUUCCAGAACAGGCUCUGCGUUCCUGUCCCCAUUCCCUCCUCUGAAUCUGGUUACUCACCUCACUCAUGGAGAGGGUCCUCGCACUAGUCCAUGCAGACCAUCCCACCCAGCUCCUGUCCCUGGGGCUAAAGGCCUUCCCACCACAAGAAGGGGCCCCAAAGUCAUGGUGUCCUGCUUUCUACACCUUGAAGGUGCCAAGCCUGUGAUGGCCUUAGGGAAGGCUUUCUCAACCAUGUCAACCAUUGACGUUUUGGAUAAUUAUCUACAUAAAGAACUUUGGACCAUUUAUCAAUGGACAUCUGAUGAUAUGCCAAGAACAAACAACAGCAUAGAGGCUUUCAAAAUGCAGCGGCUUUCCCAGGGCAACGCAAAACUUGGGUACAAACAUGUGUCGUAGUAUUUGGAAGCCGAAACCUCUCUUAAUGAAGAAAGACAUUUUAGCAAAAAAAAAAAAAAAAAAAAAGUGUGCCGUCAAUUCAGGAAAUGAACCAACAUACAGAAAAGGAGAGAGAGGGAGAGGAAGAAAGAGACAGAGAGAAAGCAUAAUAUUAUAGAGGAGAGAUUUUGAAGACUAGUGCUUAGGUACAACCCAUAAGAUAAAAUCAGUUAUUUGUGCCACCUAAGCCUGAAUCUACACACAUGUUCAAUGUGUUCAGAUAUUUUGUAUUUUGCAAUAAAGUCCUUUUACAUGUGUUAUACAUUUUUUCGUGUUUCAUUAUGUGGUUUUUAGUGAAGAUGCCUCUUUGCUAUUUUUGUAAGUUUGUCUUGUAUGACAACGUCGCUUGCCCGCCGAGCAGGUGGCGGAGAUGCUGGUGGGGAAGAUGCUGGCAGCGACGCCAGCGGACACAGGAACAGAGCACGGUUCUGCGCAGCCGUCUGGAGUGGCGCCCUCUCUUCCGGGCAACCGCACCCUGCUCAUCCUGUCCUCUUUUGCACCCCUGGGCCUGUCCUGCCAGCGCUGUCCCUCCCACCCAGGCUGGAAGUGCAACCCUUGCUUUUCCCCAUUCUCUCUUGCACCUGCCGUUGACACAUGUGGUGUUAACAUGGAGCCCAGCAUCCCCGACUGAUCCGCCAUCAGCCGCGGUUCUGUUGGUGGAGUCCGUGGUUUUGUGAGGAAGUGCUAAGUGAUGGGUUUUCUGCUCUUAAGCCCCACUUGCUACCCUGGAGUUUCUUCUUUGUUCCUCACCCACCACCUAAGAUGGGAGAUUAUGCAUCAAGAAAUAAAUGUUGCCACUGAGUCCUCUCCCCAAGAGCUUUCCAGUCUCCCUAAAGUAGGGUCAGGGGG